rnacentral:sRNA from 12 species
ACUACCUCCCGCGUGGGAAGCGAGGAGGCCCAGCCCCGGCCAGUUCCGAAAAUCAAACCGAGAAGGCGGCCGGUAGACGCAUCGAAAGCCGCCA